UACGUAGGGCGCAAGCGUUGUCCGGAAUUAUUGGGCGUAAAGAGCUCGUAGGCGGCUUGUCACGUCGGGUGUGAAAGCCCGGGGCUUAACCCCGGGUCUGCAUUCGAUACGGGCAGGCUAGAGUGUGGUAGGGGAGAUCGGAAUUCCUGGUGUAGCGGUGAAAUGCGUAGAUAUCUGGAGGAACACCGGUGGCGAAGGCGGCAUCCUGGACCGGUAUUGACGCUGAUGCGCGAAAGCCAGGGGAGCAAACGGG
rnacentral:rRNA from 1 species